rnacentral:rRNA from 1 species
GGAUGAUCAGCCACACUGGAACUGAGACACGGUCCAGACUCCUACGGGAGGCAGCAGUGGGGAAUAUUGCACAAUGGGCGCAAGCCUGAUGCAGCCAUGCCGCGUGUGUGAAGAAGGCCUUCGGGUUGUAAAGUACUUUCAGUCGUGAGGAAGGUAGUGUAGUUAAUAGCUGCAUUAUUUGACGUUAGCGACAGAAGAAGCACCGGCUAACUCCGUGCCAGCAGCCGCGGUAAUACGGAGGGUGCGAGCGUUAAUCGGAAUUACUGGGCGUAAAGCGCAUGCAGGUGGUUUGUUAAGUCAGAUGUGAAAGCCCGGGGCUCAACCUCGGAAUAGCAUUUGAAACUGGCAGACUAGAGUACUGUAGAGGGGGGUAGAAUUUCAGGUGUAGCGGUGAAAUGCGUAGAGAUCUGAAGGAAUACCGGUGGCGAAGGCGGCCCCCUGGACAGAUACUGACACUCAGAUGCGAAAGCGUGGGGAGCA